rnacentral:rRNA from 1 species
CGGACGGGUGAGUAAUGCCUAGGAAUCUGCCUGGUAGUGGGGGACAACGUUUCGAAAGGAACGCUAAUACCGCAUACGUCCUACGGGAGAAAGCAGGGGACCUUCGGGCCUUGCGCUAUCAGAUGAGCCUAGGUCGGAUUAGCUAGUUGUUGAGGUAAUGGCUCACCAAGGCGACGAUCCGUAACUGGUCUGAGAGGAUGAUCAGUCACACUGGAACUGAGACACGGUCCAGACUCCUACGGGAGGCAGCAGCC